GACGAACGCUGGCGGCGUGCCUAAUACAUGCAAGUCGAACGCAGUUGGGACGGGUGAGUUACACGUGGGUAACCUUCCAUCAGAGGGGAUAACACUUGGAAACAGGUGCUAAACCGAUACUGAUGGAUGGACCCGCGGUUCAUUAGCUCGUUGGUGAGGUAACGGCUCACCAAGGCCACGAUGAACAGCGGACCGGAGAGGGUGAGAAGACGAGCUGGGACUGAGACACGGCCCAGACUCCUGAGGGAGGCAGCAGUAGGGAAUCUUCGGAAAUGGACGAAAGUCUGACCGAGCAACGCCGCGUGAGUGAAGAAGGUUUUCGGAUCGUAAAACUCUGUUGUUAGAGAAGCGGUAUCUAACCAGAAAGCCACGGCGAACAACGUGCCAGCAGCCGCGGUAAUUC
rnacentral:rRNA from 1 species